GAUGAACGCUAGCUACAGGCUUAACACAUGCAAGUCGAGGGGAAACGACAUUGGAAGCUUGCUUCCUUUGGGCGUCGACCGGCGCACGGGUGAGUAACGCGUAUCCAACCUUCCCGCAAGUAAGGGAUAACCCGUAGAAAUGCGGCCUAAUACCUUAUGUUUUCCUUAGAGGGCAUCUGAUGAGGAACAAAGAUCCGUCGCUUGCGGAUGGGGAUGCGUCUGAUUAGUUAGUCGGCGGGGUAACGGCCCACCGAGACGACGAUCAGUAGGGGUUCUGAGAGGAAAGUCCCCCACAUUGGAACUGAGACACGGUCCAAACUCCUACGGGAGGCAGCAGUGAGGAAUAUUGGUCAAUGGGCGGAAGCCUGAACCAGCCAAGUAGCGUGCAGGACGACGGCCCUAUGGGUUGUAAACUGCUUUUUAUAAGGGAAUAAAGUGGGUCACGUGUGGCCUUUUGCAGGUACCGCAUGAAUAAGGACCGGCUAAUUCCGUG
rnacentral:rRNA from 1 species